rnacentral:sRNA from 1 species
UAUUGGGUGCGUUAACGAUAGGAACGGCAUCCUUUUUUUGCUCUAUACAUAACGCAGGUAGCAAAAAAAGAUAUAGUGGAUAGCGUGUUAAAAC